AUAAAAACAGAUGCCUUACCAUCGGAUCAUGAUGAUGAAGGCCAGCUUAGGCUCAGCGGGGAGUGCGAGCUAGGCGGACUUCACGUCUGAGCAGUCUUGUGGUACACCACGGCACGCUUCUAGACGAGCUUCCUGGUCACCUUGAAAGACUAAC